GCUACACGGCACAUGAUUGGUCAUUAAGAGAAAAGACUUGUUAUGUAUUUGACAAGUGAAAUAAAGGUGAUAAAAAUCUCAUAUCAAGACUUAGGCUUCUUUGAGAUAUAUAGGAGUUACAGGUAAAAGUUUGAAGGGAGGGGUGCACUUUGGUUAGAGAUUUUCAUUUGGUGCUGAACGCACCUAGUUGUAAAAAAAUGGAAUUUGAAAGUAAAAGUGCAACGGCACGGUAUAUUUUUUCUGGCAUGUUUUGUUUUGCAAGAUCUCGAACUUUCACGGCAAGAAAGUCAUAUACCCAAAAUUGAAUAUAUGAAUCAGUGACAGGGGCUCAACUUUGUAUGGAAGUCUAUGGGAAAACAUUUGGUGGUGUUUGUCCUAUAGAGUAGGUAUAGGUCUGAUUGACUGGGGUGUGAAAUGUAACAGCCAGUGGUGUACCUCAGCUAGGACUGUCAGUCCCAAUAUUCAUGAGGGAAAACACCUACAUAACCUUAUACAUGGGUGCAGACAUUUUGGACACCCAAAGUUGUGCGGGGAGAAGAAAAUGCUACACGGCACAUGAUUGGUCAUUAAGAGAAAAGACUUGUUAUGUAUUUGACAAGUGAAAUAAAGGUGAUAAAAAUCUCAUAUCAAGACUUAGGCUUCUUUGAGAUAUAUAGGAGUUACAGGUAAAAAUUUGAAGGGAGGGGUGCACUUUGGUUAGAGAUUUUCAUUUGGUGCUGAACGCACCUAGUUGUAAAAAAAUGGAAUUUGAAAGUAAAAGUGCAACGGCACGGUAUAUUUUUUCUGGCAUGUUUUGUUUUGCAAGAUCUCGAAUUUUCACGGCAAGAAAGUCAUAUACCCAAAAUUGAAUAUAUGAAUCAGUGACAGGGGCUCAACUUUGUAUGGAAGUCUAUGGGAAAACAUUUGGUGGUGUUUGUCCUAUAGAGUAGGUAUAGGUCUGAUUGACUGGGGUGUGAAAUGUAACAGCCAGUGGUGUACCUCAGCUAGGACUGUCAGUCCCAAUAUUCAUGAGGGAAAACACCUACAUAACCUUAUACAUGGGUGCAGACAUUUUGGACACCCAAAGUUGUGCGGAGAAGAAAAUGCUACACGGCACAUGAUUGGUCAUUAAGAGAAAAGACUUGUUAUGUAUUUGACAAGUGAAAUAAAGGUGAUAAAAAUCU